CCUACGGGAUGCACCAGUGGGGAAUAUUGCACAAUGGGCGCAAGCCUGAUGCAGCCAUGCCGCGUGUGUGAAGAAGGCCUUCGGGUUGUAAAGCACUUUCAGCGGGGAGGAAGGCGAUAAGGUUAAUGACCUUGUCGAUUGACGUUACCCGCAGAAGAAGCACCGGCUAACUCCGUGCCAGCAGCCGCGGUAAUACGGAGGGUGCAAGCGUUAAUCGGAAUUACUGGGCGUAAAGCGCACACAGGCGGUCUGUCAAGUCGGAUGUGAAAUCCCCGGGCUCAACCUGGGAACUGCAUUCGAAACUGGCAGGCUAGAGUCUUGUAGAGGGGGGUAGAAUUCCAGGUGUAGCGGUGAAAUGCGUAGAGAUCUGGAGGAAUACCGGUGGCGAAGGCGGCCCCCUGGACAAAGACUGACGCUCAGGUGCGAAAGCGUGGGGAGCAAACAGGAUUAGAUACCCGUGUAGUC
rnacentral:rRNA from 1 species